GUCGAAUAAAAUUCUAGGUAGAAUUAUGAUAAUGACAUUAUCUGCCUACAUGUCUUGACCAAAUUACGUGCCAGCAGUCGCGGUAAUACGUAGAAGACUAGUGUUAUUCAUCUUUAAUAGGUUUAAAGGGUACCUAGACGGUAAAUCAAGCCUGCGAGGGGACUAGUUUACUAGAGUUACUUGCGAGGGGGUAUUAAAGUACUAAUGGUGUAGAGAUGAAAUUCUGUCAUACCUCUUUUCGGAAGAAAAACUAUGGCACAGGUAUAGGCGAAAGCAUCCCCUUAUGUGAUAACUGACGUUGAAGGACGAAGGCUUUGUGUCGCGAACAGGAUUAGAUACCCCAGUAGUCAAAGCAGAAAAUGAUGAAUGUCAUAGAUUAGGCAUAUAAUAGUUUAUUCUAUAAAUGAAAGUGUAAGCAUUCCACCUCAAGAGUAAUUUGGCAACAUUGGAACUGAAAUCAUUAGACCGUUUCUGAAACCAGUAGUGAAGUAUGUUGUUUAAUUUGAUAAUCCGCAAAAAACCUUACCACAACUUGAAUAUUUAUGUUUACUUUUUUAUAAAAAAAAUAUAUUUACAAGCGUUGCACGGCUGUCUUCAGUUAAUGUCGUGAGAUUUUGGUUAGUUCCAUUAAAUUAACGU
rnacentral:rRNA from 1 species